AACGAACGCUGGCGGCAGGCCUAACACAUGCCAGUCGAGCGGACCCUUCGGGGUUAGCGGCGGACGGGUGAGUAACGCGUGGGAAUAUGCCCUUCUCUACGGAAUAGUCCUGGGAAACUGGGGGUAAUACCGUAUACGCCCUUUGGGGGAAAGAUUUAUCGGGGAAGGAUUAGCCCGCGUUGGAUUAGGUAGUUGGUGGGGUAAUGGCCUACCAAGCCGACGAUCCAUAGCUGGUUUGAGAGGAUGAUCAGCCACACUGGGACUGAGACACGGCCCAGACUCCUACGGGAGGCAGCAGUGGGGAAUCUUAGACAAUGGGGGCAACCCUGAUCUAGCCAUGCCGCGUGAGUGAUGAAGGCCUUAGGGUUGUAAAGCUCUUUCAGCUGGGAAGAUAAUGACGGUACCAGCAGAAGAAGCCCCGGCUAACUCCGU
rnacentral:rRNA from 1 species